GCCAGCAAGCUGAUAACAGCAGAGGGCUACAGAGGAAGUAGUCUUCAGUUGUUCCCUGGGAGGAGGGAGUUUGGGAUGGUAAACCCAAAGGAGGGGGCCAGAAGAGAUGAAGGAGUCCUGGGAAAUCACAAUAGGGCCUGGGAGCCAGUAGACAAUAGUUGCUGGACAGGGUCCCUGGGCUGGAAUUCAGAGUAGACAGCAGGCCUGAUUUCCCCUACCAGCCCCUGGGAAAGUGGUACAGACCUAGCCUUGGGCCAGAAGACUGUGUAGAGCAGAGGACAGAGUGGGAUUUUGAUACCCUGGAAGGGGAGAACAAUACAGUGAAUGGGCUGGAGUGCGGAGUCAUGAAGAGGGAGCACCAUCGAGAGGGGGCAUCUGACCAGAAAGGAGCUAAUCCCCAGAUGCAGCCAUAUGGCAGGACCCCAAGGAUGAGCAGGCCCAUUCCAGCUCCCACUGAAGCUGAUGGAAUGCCUGCAACAGGAGCUGGAUCAGAUCCUUGGGUCACCCAGAAACCGCUACCAGGAAAUCCGAACUCUUAUGUGCUGCAUCAUCUGACACUUUAU